rnacentral:lncRNA from 1 species
CCCCUGCCGGUGCCCUCCCCGCCCGGCCCUAGCUCUCUCGCCUUCUCGCCCGCCCGGCGCUGGCCCUGCUGGAUCCUGCGCGCCGGGGACUGGGGGCUGGCAGUGCAGACCGAACCCGGGGCCGAGGGGCUUCUCCACAGAGCCGCCUGGGGCUCGGUGGGGGGCGCUCAGCUCGACCCCAGCUAAGGGAGCACUAGGAAGUGCGGGCGUCCCCUUCCCUGCACCCUUGCGGGGCGGGAACCGUCGACCUAGAAGAAAAAAAAAGCUGAGGCAAACUUGAUAUAAGUAGAGAGGUUAUUUGGGCCAAGUUUGAAGAUUGCAACCCGGGAGCAUAGCUUCAAGUUGCCCUGAACAUAGGAUUUGCAACAGUGACAAAGGUGAGGCCAGAGAAGUGACAAGACAGAUGCCAGUCCAGCAGGUGGGCAUGUCCAGAAAGUGCAGCCUCAGGACACGGUCUGGGAACAAAGACUGCUGGAGAGUUGGAAGCUGGCAAGAGGCUCUCAGCUGUGAAGUACCUGGGGUGGGGGAGAAGUGGUCGGAGAAAGCAGAGAACACAAUUGAAGGCACUGGUUAUUCUAGCAAGGCUUUGACUGGAAUGGCAUAUUUUCAGAUAUGACCAGACUGCUCUGAGGAAUUCAGGUUGGCUUUAUAGAGUCAAUAAAAAGCUACCUGGAAAGAGUGGCCAUGUACCUUAUCUAUACAGUUCCCUUACAAGGUUCCUGAUCUUGAGACAUUUGGCUUCACUUGAACCUGUGUUUGAAGCUUUAGUGAACAUUGUCUUUGGGAGUAAGAAGUACUAGAAAAUUUAUGGUGCGUGAGGGUGCCCGGCUGAGAGCAGACAAACCGCCUAGCAGGUGGCUUUUCAAGCGGAAUCACAGACUAGCUCCAUCGCUGUGGUGAACGUUCUCCCCAGUGCCAGGAUUCCACUUGGCCCCUGACUGCUUGAGCAGCCGAUGUGACAGCCAUCUCUCUGCUGCCGUGCAUGUCGGCUGGGCUGGAGCCAGUGCAUCAGGAAGUAGACGCAGAAGUGGAUCAGGAGCAAAACAUUCCUGAGAGCUGGCAGAAGCUGGCGUCUGGAGCCGCUGGGAUGCGGGUAUGGGCUCUCUCAGUGGCGGAGGAACAGCCUCCUGGCAGAACCAAAGGUUGCUUUGUGCCUUCGAUGCUGCUGCUGGCCAGAGUGGUUUUCUGUCUCAGACCCUGUACCACGUGUCUGUUCUUUCUCAUUUUUUACUUAAAGGAGAAGAAAAUGAUUAUGUGUA